GGGAACUGAAACAUCUAAGUACCCGGAGGAAAGGAAAUCAAUAGAUACUCCCUUAGUAGCGGCGAGCGAACGGGGACCAGCCGAGCUGUGAAUGUGACUAGAAUCCGUUGGAAAGCGGAGCAAUAUGGGUGACAGCCCCGUAUAGGAAGCAUGAUCAGACGUAUUAAGUAGGGCGGAACACGUGAAAUUCUGUCUGAACAUCGGAGGACCACCUUCGAAGGCUAAGUACUCCUUACUGACCGAUAGCGAACCAGUACCGUGAGGGAAAGGUGAAAAGCACCCCGACGAGGGGAGUGAAACAGUUUCUGAAACCGGACGCCUACAAACAGUCGGAGGGAUCUUGUAUCCUGACGGCGUACCUUUUGUAUAAUG
rnacentral:rRNA from 1 species